GCCUGUUUAUUCAACUGUAACCUGACGGGACUAAAUGCUGGUGGGAAUAAUUGAAGAUGAAAAUAUUAAUCGAACAGAUUCUAAUCUGUGAUUGUAAAGUGACAGUCAGACUCAGUAGGCAUAUGCCUAUUAAUGAUUUUUUUGCAAUUUAAAAUGUGUCUAGGUUCAAACUGACUGUGAAGUUUUAGACAUCUAUGUUCCAUUAAUAAAAUCGUGCUCAUUUUGUAUUUUAUGAAAUGCUGUCAAAACAAAUUCAGACAGCAGAUAAUGAAAAACUCACUUUUAAACUACAUUUAUUUAUUAUUUCAGCUGCACCACAGUCAUCCUCACUCAGAAAUAUUCACAUCAUAUCCAGUUGAUAACUACGAUAGGAAUGUUCAAUCAGUGCGACUACAACUUAAGAUGAAAGGUUACUGUUCAUUGAUCAGUUUUAUACAGAUUACUUUAAACAGUCAUUACUGUAGCGCAGGCUAAGUGUUUUACCUUAAUGUCCACAGAGUCACUGUAUUAUAAAGGACAGUGUAGUUUAUAUAUUUUAUUCUGUGCUGAAAUUAAAUGUACAAUGUCCAGCUCUCUGUCCAUACCUCGAUGACAGAUUGAUCAUAAAAGCGUCAUAUUCAAGAUCAUGUUUGGGUAAAAAAAAAAAACUAAUGGCCUAUUUAACCGUGAUUUCGAUGUUUCCAAAGACGUAAUUGCGUUCCAAUAUGUGCUUUGAUAUCGACAGUAUAAUUGAGGAAAUGACACGGUGUGUGUGAUUAUAAUUCAGAUUUACUUAACGUUAACUUGCUGCUAUACUAGUAUCAGUGACAAUGCUGCAGCUCUGUUACAGGUCCAGUGUAAUAAAUAUGGGAAAACUGCUCUUCUGCUGCAUUCCUGUAGCCUGGCAGUGCAUUAUAAACAAGAGUCUCACUUACUUAUAAAUGAGCUUUUGGUUGGUCACACCACCAUUUACAGCCAGAUUCAAAUGCUCUGUGUAAUUCAUUUUCCAUCUAUACUUGAUAAAAAUUAUGUGUUACAAUUCUUUUGCACUUUUUGUAGCCAUUGCUACAAGAGCUCUGCAACCUUGAAUUGUUACAAUAAAUAAACCUUCAUAAGAGGUAACAGCUUGUUAGCUCCGCUAGGCCAAAUUAUAUUGAGUAAUGGGAUGUUGUGAAUUGGCUAAAUGAGCAAGAGACAUGUAUGGAACUUUAAAUAUCUUUAUUGCUCAGUAGUGUUUCCUUUAUUGUGCAGAAUAUGGCAUGGCGCAGCAUAAAUAUUUAAAUGCAAAUGUUUGUUUGUAUGUCUGUUGCCAUAAUCACAAAUUUGAGAUGACCAGACAGACCCACCACAGAGACAAACCACCAGGAUAGCAGAUGAAUCAGAAGUACAGGUUUCCAGUAUAAUAUGAGGACUACUUCAAACUAUUAACCUCAGGUGGCCUGAUUUUGUGAGCAGUGACCUCCAGAGCUUAGAUUCUCAGAUUACAUGCACUCACUGAGGCCGAUAGUAAUUGUCAGGGUAGGAUGUCCAAUAUGAAAUAAAUAGAUGUUAUGUUAUGUAAUUAUUUCUAGUAAAAAGAUACCCCAUAAAUGUGCAAAGUCAUCAAAUGAUAAAUAGUGAUUAUGAUUAUUGCUUUAGACCACUAACACUUACCAUGAGGCAGAAACAUGCACGGAAUAGGCAUAGCUGAAUUACUGAGCUUACAGAGUAAUGUGCUACUGUGUACUAUUUACUUGAAAAGUAGCUCAGUAAUCAAAGUAUCUGCAGCUACUGAACCAUGUGUAUGUUUCAAAUUAACCUGGAUAUUUUCACUUGAAAAGUUUGUCAGACAAUCAUUGGCAUGUUUAAAAAUACUUUAUCAAACUGUUACAAAGAAUAUAAUUUAUAUUGUGAUCUGUCAACGCCAUAAUAAAGUUCAUGAAAUGAGA